rnacentral:misc_RNA from 1 species
UCCGUGUUGACCACGGCAGUAUCCCAUGAGUUCCCACCAUUACGUGCUGGCAACAUAGGACGAGGGUUGCGCUCGUUGCCGGACUUAACCGAACAUCUCACGACACGAGCUGACGACAACCAUGCACCACCUGUAUAACAGUGUCCAAAGAGUCCCGCAUCUCUGCGGUGUUCUGCUAUAUGUCAAGCCUUGGUAAGGUUCUUCGCGUUGCAUCGAAUUAAUCCGCAUGCUCCGCCGCUUGUGCGGGCCCCCGUCAAUUCCUUUGAGUUUUAGCCUUGCGGCCGUACUCCCCAGGCGGGGAACUUAAUGCGUUAGCUACGACACAGAACCCGUGGAACAGGCCCUACAUCUAGUUCCCAACGUUUACGGCAUGGACUAC